rnacentral:rRNA from 1 species
CGAAGGGGGCUAGCGUUGUUCGGAAUCACUGGGCGUAAAGGGCGCGUAGGCGGCCGAUCAAGUCGGGGGUGAAAGCCUGUGGCUCAACCACAGAAUGGCCUUCGAUACUGUUUGGCUUGAGACCGGAAGAGGUCAGUGGAACUGCGAGUGUAGAGGUGAAAUUCGUAGAUAUUCGCAAGAACACCAGUGGCGAAGGCGGCUGACUGGUCCGGUUCUGACGCUGAGGCGCGAAAGCGUGGGGAGCAAACAGGAUUAGAUACCCUGGUAGUCCACGCCGUAAACGAUGGAUGCUAGCCGUUGGCGAGCUUGCUCGUCAGUGGCGCAGCUAACGCUUUAAGCAUCCCGCCUGGGGAGUACGGUCGCAAGAUUA